rnacentral:tRNA from 1 species
GGGUAUAUAGUAUAAUUGGCAGAACACGAAACUUUUAAUUUCGCAGAUGUGGGUUAAAGUCCCGCUAUACCCA